CAAAGCUAUAUGGUCGCUCCGUCCACCAGGGACCUGAAAUUUUAAUCCCACAACCGGGAUGAGACGAUGUCUCAGCAAGUUCAACCCCUUAAACCCCUAUUAGAAAGAAAAUACGCCCAAGGGUGGCCUAGCCACAUCACACAGAGAACUUACCUCGCCUCAAUUCCUUCCUGCAGGUUAGCACAAUUUGUAUCACACAAUCUUAGGUAGUAAUAAUAAUUCAAACAAUUGGAACGUCAUCACUUUCAUAUAAUCACAGUCGUACUUAGCACACAUUCCAAUUAUUAUUCACUGCCACACAAGGGCAUAGCCUACUCGCAGUUCGGCUAUCUACUGACACUAAUGCCAGACAUCGCCUCCCCCCAUGGAGCGCGGCUUCGUCAUUACGUCGACGGCAUUCCCGAAGGAGCAUGGGUCCAGUCGGCCUAGCCACUACUGCGACCCGAGCCACGUCACUCUCCUGACGGCAUUUCUAUAAGAGCAAAGGUCCAGUCGGCCUUGCCACUACUGCGACCCGAGCCACGUCACUCUCCUGACGGCAUUUCUAUAAGAACAAAGGUCCAGUCGGCCUUGCCACUACUGCGACCCGAGCCACGUCACUCUCCUGACGGCAUUUCUAUAAGAACAAAGGUCCAGUCGGCCUAGCCACUACUGCGACCCGAGUCUUUCAACCAGCACACAACAAUUCGAUAAUUAAUUGCACAAAUCAUCACUCAAUUUGAAACAUCUAAUCAUCAAAUUCAUAAUCUGAAUACACAGCAGCGAUCAGCACAAAAUUCUGAGAAUUUAAGAUCCCAACUUAAUUUUCGGAAUUUAUUUAAUAAUUAAAUUUAUUUCGAAAAUUAAUUAAAUAAUAAUAUCCCUAUCUUUCACAAUCCACACUCGAUUUAUAAAAUCCAAUCAUCAAUUUCAACAUUUGAUUACACAGCAGCGACCGGUACGAAAUUCUGAGAAUUUAGGGUCCCAACCAAAUUUUCGGAAUUUAAUAAAUAAUUAAAUUUAUUCCGAAAAUAAUUAAAUAAUAAUAUUUUAUUAAUUUCAAAUAAAUUAUAUUAUUAAAUUAUAUAAUAAUUUCGAGACAUUUAAAUAAAUCAAAAGUAAAUUCAUUUAAGUCAAAUCAAGGCUUAUUUUAAAUAAACCUACUUACCCUUAAUUAAGCACACUUUAAAUUAAACCACAACCUUAAUCAAAUCCACUCUUAAUUAACCUAAACUAACAACCUAAUAAUACUUAACAUAAACUAAACCUCCCUAAGCAUAAUUAACCCUCUAAGCGAGGUUUAGUGAGCUAAACUCACCGGAUUAGCGAGCCGAGCGGACCAAAACGACGAGGACGCCGAGGAGAACAACUUUCCUCAAAGCGGGCCGAGCAUCCGGGCUCAGGAAGGCGGCCAAAACGGGCCAAACAUGGGCUGCCAUACCCAUUUUCUGCAGCUGCUGUCCAUGGCGGCUUGAGGCCGAGAAUGGGCGGAUCCGGCGCCGGUUGAGGCGGCCAAGGGCGGCGGAGGCAAGGCGAAGCUCCGGCGGGCUAAGGCGGGGGCGCACGGUGGCCGGAGGUGGCUGAUCCGCGGCCUACAGCAGCCCACGGAGGUGAGGAGGAGCUGGAUCUCGGCGGACGAGGGCGGCAAGCCGGCGAGGUAACAGCGUGAGCUGGCGAGCGGGCGAGGGACCGAACGGCGGCGAGCUGCGACGGCGAGGAGCUCUGGCUGGCGG
rnacentral:lncRNA from 1 species